rnacentral:RNase_P_RNA from 1 species
UUAGUCGGAUGAUUGCUCCCACACCUUUCAUCUCUUUAGAUUUUCAAUUAAUCUAGGCUCAAUAUCCUUGUUUGAGUUGAGUUUAUAAAGGUAAUGCCAUUAGAGUGAUGAAAGGUGUGGGAGAGGAAAGUCCGAACACCUGCCUUCGCUGAAGCUUCGGCAGGCACGCCUGCCAAAAAGGCUUUAGUAAAGGUAAAAGAGGAUAGCCCGUAACACGGGCCGGGUGGAAAGAUCUUUAAAAGAACCUAUAGGUUUUUAAAUAUCUUGAAAUCUAGGGAAAGUGUCACAGAGACUAUACCGCCCUCCUGCGUUCACCUUCGGUGAACUUCGGAGGGCAGGCCCUCUUAUUAAAUUAAAGAAGGGCUUGCCCACCGAAGCUCGCAAAAGGCGAGCGUAGGCGGGUAAGGGUGAAAAGUGAGGGCCUAAGAAUCCUCUUUCUUUCUUGGCAACAAGAAGGAAUGAAAAACCCUAUCCGGUGCAAGAUCAAAUAGAGCGGGCGUUUACUUAGUAAACGCAACGCUGGGUUGAUUGCUAGAGUCCGGCCACUAUUAAGUGCGUCGGAACAAGAUAGAUAAUCAUCAUCCCCACACCAUUUGUCGAAAUAUUGAAAAAAGUAUCAAUCUAGUUGCUAUACUGAAAUAGGUGAGAUUAAGUAUGUAAUAUAAAUUACGGCAAAUGGUGUGGGGGGACAGAAUUCGGCUUAUAGACUAAGCUC